GUUCUUGCCUGGAGAAUCCCGGGGACGGGGGAGCCUGGUGGGCUGCCGUCUAUGGGGUCGCACAGAGUCGGACACGACUGAAGCGACUUAGCAGCAGCAGCAAGGCAAGAUGAAUGAUAUCACCUUCCAAGGUAAAUAUACAAGUGGAGAUGCUGACAAAUCCCAACACCUAAAUGAUAAACAAGCUGCGCUGCAGAUGCAGGAGCUUUCCUGUCACCAGAGAGGGAGCAAGAGGGGAGACAGCCUUAGGUCUGGCUCGCUCCAUGAUGCAGCUUCUAAAACUCCGGUGAGAAAACACACCCCAGGCGCCUCUUCCUGCUUCCUGGUCUUGAAUGAAAGACGCCCAUUUACAGAGUCAUUUUCAGAAGCAAUUUCCAGAUUUAAAGCACCGUGGUCAGUAAAAUUCUAUUUAAAUCAGUCCUGGCUUAUGCACUCCCCAGCGGAUUCUAACAGAACUUGUGGCUUGUGAAGAGUCUGCUUCACUUCCUCCUCCCUCUGAAGGAAAAUCUGACCAUCAGUGUAAUAGGGGAGCCAGCUCUGUGUUAAACUGAACAUUUCUCAACAUUUCAGGAUUAUUUUAUAGUAAGUUAUUUCUGCCUCUGUACUGACAUGACUUCUAAUGUAAUUAACUAGAAUUUCCUUUCAAAGUCAUGAGAGGGGCUUCCCUGCUGGCUCAAAUGGUAAAGAAUCUGCCUGAAAUGCAGAAGUGGCUUCCAUCCCUGGGUCGGGAAGAUGCCCUGGAAAAGGAAAUGGCAACCCACUCCAGUAUUCUUGCCUGGAGAAUCCCGUGGACAGAGGAAUCUGGUGGGCUAUGGUCCAGGGGGUCACACAGAGUCACACGCAUCUCAGCAACUAAGACUUUCCCUUUCAAUGUCAGGAGGGUGUCUGUCAUUCAUCUUCAGCCAUGGUAUGUUUCUCACCAGGCAAAGUUACUGCUACUCGGAGGAUUCCCCUGCUACUGCCAUAAACACUACUGUUUUUUCACGGAGUCUAAAGAUGACCCACAGAAAGAAUGAUUUAGAGUUGAUUUAUAGAUAAAUAUGCAUACUCUAUGUUCCUCAUGCAUGCGUGCCAAGUUGCUUCAGCAUUCCUCAUCUUCCCAAAUUUUGAGAGAACUAAAAUUACAGCAUUUAUGGUUGUGUAUAGACUUGAGAUAAAAGUAGUUAUUUACUUAUAUUAUAUUUUAACAAAAGGCUUAAAUUUGUUAUAAGAAAAUAGGACAAUGUCAAUUAUAAAAUUGUGAAAUUCAACUUUCCAGGGUUGUUGUUGUUCAGUCACAUCCGACCCUUUGCCACCCCAUGGACUGCAG
ensembl:lncRNA